UGGUGAGUCCCAGCCUGGAGCCCAUCCCAGUAUGGCCCAGUCCCUCCCAAUCCUGUCCCAGUCCAUCCCAGUUCCCUCCCAGUCCCCCCCAAUCCAUCCCAGUCCCUCCCAGUCCAUCCCAGUUUGUCCCAGUCCCUCCCAAUCCCAUCCCAGUCUCUCCCAGUCCCUACCAGUUCCCUCCCAAUCCCUUCCCAGUUCAUCCCAAUCCAUUCCCAAUCCCCUCCCAGUCCAUCCCAGUCCCUUCCAGUCCAUUCCAAUUACCUCCCAGUCCCUCCCAGUUUGUCCCAGUCCAUCCCAAUCCCCUCCCAGUUCAUCCCAGUCCCUCCCAGUUCAUUCCAGUUCCCUCCCAAUCCCUUUACAGUCCCUCCCAGUUUGUCCCAAUCCCUCCCAGUCCCUCCCAGUCCCCCCCAGUCCCUCCCAGUCCCCCCCAGUCCCUCCCAGUCGCUCCCAGUUCCCUCCCAAUCCCUCCCAGUCCCUUCCAGUCCAUUCCAAUUACCUCCCAAUCCCCUCCCAGUUUGUCCCAGUCCCUCCCAGUUUGUCCCACUCUCCUCCCAGUUUGUCCCAGUCGCUCCCGCUCCCUUGCAGCUCCCUCCCCGCCCGUUCCCUGCCGCCGCCGUCACCGGCCGGGCGCGGAUCCCUGCAAUUCCGCUUUUUCCCCCCAAAAAAACCUCCGCGGCUUUUCCGCGCGUUCGGCUUCUGCGGCAUAAACUUCACCCCACACUGCAGGGAAACGGCGUUGGCUGGAGAGGUUUCCUCUUUUCUCCCCAAAAAAUCCGACAACACCACCAGGGAACCAGGAAAACCCUCGGGAUUUGGGGAUUAUUUUAGUGAAACCCAAGAAAAGCCUCGGGAUUUGGGGAUUUUUUUCAAGAAACCCAAGAAAACCCUGGGGAUUUGGGGAUUUUUCUCCUGAAACCCAGAAAAACCCUCAGGAUUUGGGGAUUUUGGCUCUGAAACCGAGGAAAACCCUCGGGAUUUGGGGAUUAUUUUAGUGAAACCCAAGAAAAGCCUCGGGAUUUGGGGAUUUUUUUCAUGAAACCCAAGAAAACCCUCAGGAUUUGGGGAUUUUGGCUCUGAAACCCAGAAAAACCCUCAGGAUUCGGGGAUUUUCUCCUGAAACCCAGAAAAACCCUCGU
rnacentral:lncRNA from 1 species